rnacentral:misc_RNA from 1 species
AACGCACAUUGCGCCCCCUGGCAUUCCGGGGGGCAUGCCUGUCCGAGCGUCAUUGCUAACCCUCCAGCCCGGCUGGUGUGUUGGGUCGACGUCCCCCCCGGGGGACGGGCCCGAAAGGCAGCGGCGGCGCCGCGUCCGAUCCUCGAGCGUAUGGGGCUUUGUCACGCGCUCUGGUAGGGUCGGCCGGCUGGCCAGCCAGCGACCUCACGGUCACCUAUUUUUUCUCUUAGGUUGACCUCGGAUCAGGUAGGGAUACCCGCUGAACUUAA